rnacentral:rRNA from 1 species
GGGGAAUAUUGCACAAUGGGCGCAAGCCUGAUGCAGCAACGCCGCGUGAGGGACGACGGCCUUCGGGUUGUAAACCUCUUUUGGCAGGGAAGAAGCGAAAGUGACGGUACCUGCAGAAAAAGCACCGGCUAACUACGUGCCAGCAGCCGCGGUGAUACGUAGGGUGCAAGCGUUGUCCGGAAUUAUUGGGCGUAAAGAGCUCGUAGGCGGUUUGUCGCGUCUGCUGUGAAAACCCGAGGCUCAACCUCGGGCCUGCAGUGGGUACGGGGAAACUAGAGUGCGGUAGGGGAGAUUGGAAUUCCUGGUGUAGCGGUGGAAUGCGCAGAUAUCAGGAGGAACACCGAUGGCGAAGGCAGAUCUCUGGGCCGUAACUGACGCUGAGGAGCGAAAGCAUGGGGAGCGAACA